rnacentral:rRNA from 1 species
UACGUAGGCAGCAAGCGUUGUUCGGAAUUACUGGGCGUAAAGAGUGUGUAGGCGGUGCUCUAAGUUUGGUGUGAAAUCUCCCGACUUAACUGGGAGGGUGCGCCGAAAACUGGAAUGCUUGAACAUGGGAGAGGAAAGCGGAAUUCCUGGUGUAGCGGUGAAAUGCGUAGAUAUCAGGAGGAACACCUGCGGUGUAGACGGCUUUCUGGACCAUUGUUGACGCUGAGACACGAAAGCGUGGGUAGCAAACAGG